rnacentral:rRNA from 1 species
GCAAGUCGAGCGAUAACGGUCUUCGGACUUAUUAAAGCGGCGGACGGGUGAGUAACGCGUGGGAAUCUACCUAGUAGUGGGGGACAACAGUUGGAAACGACUGCUAAUACCGCAUACGCCCUACGGGGGAAAGGGGGGGAUCUUCGGACCUUCUGCUAUUGGAUGAGCCCGCGUAAGAUUAGCUUGUUGGUGGGGUAAAGGCCUACCAAGGCGACGAUCUUUAGCUGGUCUGAGAGGAUGAUC